AUUGAACGCUGGCGGUAGGCUUAACACAUGCAAGUCGAGCGAGCGGCGGACGGGUGAGUAAUGUAUGGGAAACUGCCUGAUGGAGGGGGAUAACUACUGGAAACGGUAGCUAAUACCGCAUACCAUCAGAUGUGCCCAGAUGGGAUUAGCUGGUAGGUGGGGUAAUGGCUCACCUAGGCGACGAUCCCUAGCUGGUCUGAGAGGAUGAACGGCCACACUGGAACUGAGACACGGUCCAGAAUCCUACGGGAGGCAGCAGUGGGGAAUAUUGCACAAUGGGCGCAAGCCUGAUGCAGCCAUGCCGCGUGUGUGAAGAAGGCCUUCGGGUUGUAAAGCACUUUCAGCGAGGAGGCGUUACUCGCAGAAGAAGCACCGGCUAACUCCGUGCCAGCAGCCGCGGUAAUAC
rnacentral:rRNA from 1 species